CAGGGACCCAACACCUUCCCCUGAGAGUAGUAGCUCUUCAGCCCCCUUAUUGUGAAACCAGUUGAGAAGCUCCACUUUCCUUAGAUCUAUCAGGAUUUUGUAACUAGCAAUUCACAGGUGUCCUGUGCUUUUGGGGCUGCCACCGGGGGAGGAAUAGGAUUUGGUACAACCCACUUGUUUAUGUUUCUCCUAAGGCCACAUCUAUUUCCAGCCACAUCCUUUGUUCCGGGAUUAAUGAUUUUUUUUCUUUAAAAAAUAUUUUUAUACAGUCGUACCUUGGAUCCCGAACUCCUUGGUACUCGGAUGUUUUGGCUCCCGAACACUGCAUACCCGGAAGUGAUUGUUCCAGUUUGUGAACGUUUUUUGGAAGCCGCACAUCUGACGGGGCUUUUGUGACUUCUGAUUGGCUGCAGGAGCUUCCUGCAGCCAAUCAGAAGCUGGGCUUUGGUUUCCCAAUGUUUUAGAAGUCAAACGGACUUCCAAAGCAGAUUCCGUUCGACUUCCAAGGUACAACUGUAUACUGCUAUUCAUUUAAAAAGUCAAAAUGGUUUAUGAUAGCACAUAAAACUAUACAAUUCAAACCAUAUAAGAAGUUAAAAAGAGAGACCAGUGAACUAUUGUGAAAAUAUGUAUUCUUAUUGCCUGCAUAGGCCUGAAGAAAGAGAAAAGUUUUCAACAAGCAUUUAAUAGCUGAAACAGAAAGCACCUGCUGAAUCUCUGUUGGCAGAGUGUCCCACGAUAUUGGAUAAAUGAAACUAAAGUCUCUGCUUCCUGUUGUUAUCAGAUGAGUCUCGCCAAGUUGGGGAAUGACCAGUGCUACUCCUGCAGAUGUUAUCAGUGACUGAGCUGGGAUAUAAGGCUUCAGGUCGCUAGGGUACCUUGGACGUAAGUUGCUCAGGGCUUUGUAAAUUAACUCUGCAAGAUGUAAUUCACUAGCACCUGAAUGGUGACAGGUUCCUUGUCCCUCAUUUAGAAAGCAUCUAAGUUUCCCAUUGCUUCAACCUCAAAGGACCUGGACAUUUGUAGUUCUCCAAUGAAGUUAAGGUUCUCAAAUGGACCAUUUUUAGAGACUCCCUGUCCUACUCACCUGCCCCGUACACCGAAGAGUCCCAGGGUUAGUUAUGGGAAGCAUUACGCAAACCCAGUUUAAAAUUUGUACUGUAGGUGUUUCAAAGGGGAUUAAUAAAAAAUAAUAAAAACUUGCCAGCAACAGCUCGCAAAAGAUUUACAAUGGAAAUUGAAGCACCUGAAUCCUUGACCCCUGGAUUAUUUAUAUUACUAUGUUCUCUAUGAUCAAGACCUGCUGAUUAUUGCUAUACAUAUCAAAAUGUCAUCAUAAAACCUUUUCUGAUUCAAAUGAGAUUUGGGUGGAUUUAAAUCAAAGCUCCUCACUUCAAACCCUUCUCAAGUGCAAAAAGGAGUUAUUGAUUCCCAUAAACCAGGGCAUCACUUCUACAUCCCUUAAAUUCUGGUGGCAUAGGGAGACUGUGCGCGGGCUGCUUCUCCAGUCUGAGUCACUGCCAGGAAAUCUUUGAAAUAACACUGUUUUCGCAAAGGGGGAAAUCCAUUUCAAAAUAAUAGCAAGACAAAAUAUUAGUGAUCCACUCCUUGGAGUUUUGGAGAUUAGAAAACCUCUUGCCCUUUAAAUUCCAGCUUUCAAAGAACACUAUGGAGAAUUGCUUGAGCUCUUAGCUCCUCUAUCUGUUUGGCUUUGCUCUAGUGGCGAGAGCAUCGAGUGCGCGGCUGAGUGCCAGGCUGAAUGCCUUUAAAUAGAAGAAGCCAGACAGACAUUUUGGGCUGGCUCCAAGAUUUUGAAGGCCCACAAGCAAGGCCCAACAGCAAGUGGGCAGGACGUGUUAAGCAAAGGACUGCUUUUAUGACUGUCCACUGUCUCCUCCUCCCGCCCUCCCUCAUACAUUUAGCGUUUUCUUCAGUCCCUGCACCCUUCCCUAGGGAUGGGCAGAUCCUCAAAGUACAGCUUGGAGACAGCAGCUAUUUCUGAUACUGGGUUACUGAUUAAAUGUUGAACAAAAUGGUUCCUUUGGUGGUAGCAGCUAGAAGCUGAAUGUUACCAGAAUGUUUGCUUUAACUUCUUUUAUGUUACUCCUCUUCUAAGAUGUUGAGUAGUUUCCCCUGGGGAAGAACAGAAAAUGUACUCAGAACGUGUCAGUAAAUCUGACAACUUUGUAAACAAAUCCUCUUGCAGAAAUUGGUUUGGCCGUUUGUUUGUUUGUUUGUUUGUUUUUCUUCCAUGUGGUACAGCCCUCCUUCUGUGUGCACCAAAACACAAUAGACACAAGCCCACCUCAAGUUAGCACACACAAAAAUGCCAGGCUGCCUUAAUAGCAUUGCUUCCACAAACCCUUUCAGUUCACAUAUGUAUGCUAAAUGGGGCUGGGUGAAUUUAAUGAUAGAAAGUGCUGCCCAGAACAGCACAGGAACAUAUGGAACUGCCUUCUGAUAGACUAAUUCAUUGGCCCGCCCACCCAAGAAUUGUCUAUAAUUGGCAUUUGGCCUCCAUUUUUUGUGUGCAGGAAUCUCUUAACUGGAGAGGUCAGGGGGGUGAGCCUGGGAUCUUAUGUAUGCAAAUAAUGUGCUCUGCUCCUGAGCUAUGGUUCCUUUUCCUUCAUGAACAUGGGGAAUGUUCUUCUGAUGUUCAGGAAGAGGAAGGGACAGACCCUAUAACCUGAGUUACAGGGUGACAUAGAGGGUGAAGCUUCUAGCAAAGGGUUUAGGCUUGAAUGUGGGAUGGAUGAACCAGAAACAACAGCUGAUUGGGAUGUGUGGAUUGUGGUCCAUAUAAAGGCAUUGUUGCCCCAUCCAACAGAGGUAAAUGCUAAUACAACAGGUGAUCUAUACAUGUCCCCAGAGCUGAAAAGGCUUGAGCCUGGAUAUAAUAAUGCCUUGAUAGCUCAGUUGGUUAGAGUGUGGCACUGAUAAUACCAAGAUUGUAGGUUCAAUCCCCAUAUUCCUGCAUUGCUGGGGGUUGGACAGAUGAUCCUCGGGAUCCCUUCCAACUCCACAAUUCUAUGAUUCUAUGAGCCAAGGCUAGACUAGACUUCUGAGUCCAUGACAGACACAAAGCAUGUGUGUACCUAUUUGCACAUGUAUUUAUUUCUAUUGGGUUGGAGCCCAUGUUUGUGGUUAGAAGGCUUCUGAGUGACUUAUCAAGCUACCGUGUGAGAUGAUUGGCUAGACAUCACGCACUAGGGAACCAAAAGUUCUAAGACGGAAUUAUUCAGGGAGCCAAGACACAUGGGCCAUUCUAGACUACUGAGCCCCAAACUACAUAUUACAGUUAUUCAUUCAUGGCUAUAUUUCUUUAGAAGAAAAAGCACCUGUGGGACCUCAAUCCAGAUCAAGGCCCACACCAGCUUUCUGCCAACCCUUUCUCCACCAUCCUGAAGGCAUGCAUUAAUGCAAACAGCACCUUCAGAUUCAAACAGCAGACAGGGAAGAAGUGAUUUUCAGCAGUAAAUUGGUGCAGGGCCCUGAUCCAUAUUGGAAACCCAUUCUGGAUUAGGACCCAGCCCAUAUGCCAGCUAGGGUGGGUGGGGGUUGUGGUCCAAAAGAUCUGGAGGGGACAAGUUUGGCAAAAACUGAUAGUGAAUCAAACUUUAAAAGGUGGGUUCUGUUUCAGUUCAGGUUCAUGAGUAUAUAACUCUCCAGUCUGGUUCUGGUUCAGACAUAUGUACCAGCUUUAAGAAACUGGACUUGUGUGGAUGGUGUCUUUAUGUAGCUUAGUUGCUAGGUGGCACUAGACUUAUUUUAUGUGGCUGGAGGCACAAGAUUUCUAUUCCAUUCCAUUCUGCUAAGGGAAACAAUGAAAUUUCCAUCUAGCUUCCUGACUAGUGUGUCCUCUAAGCCUUCCGUGACAAAUUUGGAACCAAUUUGAACUGUAAAUAGAAUCAUUAAAUAAAUAAAUAAACUUUUACAGUCACAGUGUAACUCGUAGAAAAUGAAUGCAUGAUAAAUAUUUAAUUUGAGAAAUACAGUGGUACCUCAGGUUAAGAACUUAAUUUGUUCUGGAGGUCCGUUCUUAACCUGAAAAUGUUCUUAACCCGAGGUACUAUUUCUGGGUUAGCGGAGUCUGUAACCUGAAGCAUCUGUAACCUGAGGUACUACUGUAGGUAUUUUUAUUUUUAUUUACCUGCAAUUUACGUGCACUAAUGCUAUAUCCUCCUGAACUUUCUCAGUUGUAUUUGACAACUUAGUGGAUUGAAUGAAUUUCAGUCCCAAAUUGUUCCUUUCUAUAUCAACUAGCAACACAGUUUUAGCUCAUAAAUGCCAUUAUAUAAAUCUGUGCAGGCAAUUCUUAUGUUCUUAUUUUCACUUUUACAGACAUGAAGCUCAUUGAUAAAGUAAUCCAGGUAAGAACCAAUACAUUUAUGGGCCUCUCUUUGUUAUUCUCAGCCCUCUGGGGAUUAGUUUGAAGUAGUAAUCUGAAAAAUCAAUCACACAUACAUCAUUUGAAAUAUAAGCUUCGAGAAUUUUCAAACUAUAGUUUCGUUAGAUUAGCUUAUUCUUUGUCUUCAGCUGAGCAAAGCAAUUUGUAUUUGGGAUCAAAGUAAAUGCCAGAGUCAUGAAAAUUACCAAGCUCUCUAGCUCCUGUCUGACUCUGCUGCUGCAAUGAUUACCUAUGAAAUACAGCAUCUUUUGCCUGCCUUUCUACAACUGAAGUAUUGGGGGAGAGGGGACAAGCUCCUUCUACUCACGCUUAAAAGAAUCUCUUGGAUUUCUUCUCAGAGAAAGUGGUUAUAUUGUUUGAUAUUUAUGGGUGCAGAUCAGUUUCAAGGCAGUCAAGAAAUUUUACAACUGGCUUUGUCCUGUUCUGAUGAUUUUGGUCAAGUCCCCUCCCCCACCCCAAUUCCCCCCAAAUUGGGAAAUUUCUGAAAAUUGGGGACAGGCAGGAGAACUUUGGUGAAAUAUUCAGGAGUAUAUUGGCAGCUUACAUCACAUUCAGAACAGCAAAAUUCAUUGCAGUACCUUUGAAAAUGCUCUCAACAUUGAAUGGAUCUAGGUAAGGGUCUUCAUAUCCAGCUAGGGAUGUUCAUUCUGCACCAUCUGAGCUUGAGCAGGUGUAAACCAGACUGGUGCAUCCUCCAUAUUUUACUUAUUCUUAUUCUCUGAAUUAAUGCUUCAUGUGGAACUGAAUUGUUACAGCUGGGGUGGCCAAUGUGGUGCUCUCCAGUGGUACUACGCUGCUGGAUUACAACGCCCAUCAUUCUUGAUCUUGGCUGGGGCUGAUGAGAGUUGGAAUCCAACAUCCAACUGGACAGGGGGGACAAUACCUUGAGGUAGAGAACUUCCUUCACUGAAAUUGCAUACCACAAAAUAGUCCCACUUAAAAAAAAAAAGUAGUUUGGCUACUUCAGUUUUACUGUGCCAGGAUGGAGGUCUGACCUUUUUAACUAGUUUUUGGAUUUCAGUUCAGUUUUGGUUACCCACCCCCACCCCAACCCACAUAUUUGAUCAGCACAAGACAGGAAGUUGUCUUCAACAGCCUCUGUUAUGCAGCAUCCUGAAUAGUUAGAUUUUACAGUGGUUCUCAACCUGUGGGUCCCCAGAUGUUGUUGGACUACAACUCCCAUCAUCCCUGAGCUCUGGCCUUCCUAGCUAGGGGUGAUGGGAGUUGUAGUUCAACAACAUCUGGGGACCCACAGGUUGAGAAAGGCUGGGUUAGAAGUACUAAUGGAAGAGCUAAACUAGCAGGAUUCAAUCCGUUCUUGUGAGUUUUGCUGUAAUUUUAUUGCCGUUUUGAUAGUGUUAGCAGCCUUGAGUUUGCUUUCAGAACAAAAGGUGGGUUGUAAAUUGAAUGCAUAAAUAAUGAAAACUAAGCAAUGCAGACAUCACGUCGUCUCAGAUAUAUCAGUAAAUAAUCAUCACCUAACAAACUGCACCAGACCUUAUUCUCAAAAGAAAGCUGAACUAAAUAUCUGUGCCACUUGACAAGGCGGUGCCUGAGUUUCAGGUCAAGAAAACUGUACCUCAACCAGGAAUAAAGAGUAAGGGCACAGGUACUGGGUUAACUGAGGGGCACACAACUUUUAUUUCACAUUUAUAGCCAUCAAUCUGCAGCAAGAGCCUGAAAGUUGUGAAGCAACAGGAUAGUCUUUCUACCUCCUUGCAACCAGAAUAUUCUGGAUAAGGCAUCCUGACCCAAACACAAGCAGUAGACAUCUCUGCUUGUGUCUGCCUGGCCACCUCUUGGUUGAGGGAGGCUCUUGCUGUGACAUCAUUGCAUUUACUAGAUUGUUGUUGUUUAGUCGUUUAGUCAUGUCCGACUCUUCAUGACCCCAUGGACCAGAGCACACCAGGCACUCCUGUCUUCCACUGCCUCCUGGAGUUUCAUCAAAUUCAUGUUGGUCUCUUCUGUAACACUGUCCAACCAUCUCGUCCUCUGUUGUCCCCUUCUCCUUGUGCCCUCAAUCUUUCUCAACCCCAGAGUUUUUUUUCCAGAGAGUCUUCUCUUCUCAUUAGGUGGCCAAACUAUUUGAGCCUUAGCUUCAGGGUCUGUCCUUCCAGUGAGCACUCAGGGUUGAUUUCCUUCAGAAUGGAUAGAUUUGGUCUUUUUGCAGUCCAUGGGACUCUCAAGAGUCUCCUCCAGCACCACAAUUCAAAAGCAUCAAUUUUUCCGCGAUCAGCCUUCUUUAUGGUCCAGCUCUCACUUCCAUACAUCACCACUGGGAAAACCAUAGCUUUAACUAUAUGGACCUUUGUUGGCAAGGUGAUGUCUGCUUUUUGAGAUGCUGUCUAGGUUUGUCAUUGCUUUUCUCCCAAGAAGCAGGCAUCUUUUAAAUUCAUGACUGCUGUCACCAUCUACAGUGAUCAUGGAGCCCAGGAAGGUAACAUCUAUUUACUAGAUAGGAAAAGGGUAUUUGUGCAAGAUAUCAGCACCCCUUCUUGAUGUAAUGUCAUUGGCUAGAGUAACCAACCAGUCAGCACUUUGCUGGUCUAUCCAACAGGUUUGGAGAACUGGAUCCUUAUCUUUCUCAUCCUCCCUUCCCGAACCAAGUUUGACAUGGGUGGGGCAGCCACCUGUCAAUCACCUGACAUCACAAUGAUACCAUUUUUGCCUAUGCAGUUUGAAAUCAAGUUGUGUAGGUAGAUAGAUAGAUAAUACUUUAUUCGGCUAUAAGCCCACAGGGUAAAACAAAUCAAUAGAUAAAAAUCAAUAGAUAAAAUCAAUAGCAUUUUACAAUCUAAAAUAUCAACUAAAAUAUUUCAACGCAUAAUCUCUAAAUGUACCGUGUUAUGGCCUUGAAGAUAAAGAUGGUGCAUAGAGUUUUCUGAAUUUUUAAUAGUCAUGCAGCAUUCCCUGAAGUCUUUUAUAUGACAGAACUGAGAUCAGGAAUCUAGCAACCUGUAAAGUUCUAUAAGAGUCAAUGUCCUGGAGUAGAUAAGCUAGAUGUAAUUCAGGUGGUUUAGCAGCAAUUUCCAGAAUGAUUGAACUCAGGAUCCUUGAUCGGGGAACAUUAUAUAAGGGGCAAUUAAACAAGAUAUGAUAAAGGGAUUCUAUCGAUUUGUUGUCACAUGCGCACAAAACAGAGAUUUUACCGUUAGAAAAUCUAUUGCUCAGCACAUUUGAGGGGAACACAUUAAAUCUGGCUCUAACAAAUGCGAAUCUAUGCGACGCAGCCGAUAAAGUAGACAGAUAUCGAGGUAUCUGGGACAUAUAUGUAAUGCCCUGAUAUAUCGGGGAACAUGUACCUCCACCUGUGGUAAGAUUUUGUUGUAAAUCUACCUCCUCCAGUCUUUGUUUGAUGACCUUUUUAGCUGUAAUUAGAUCUAAAUUAAGUAUAUCGGAGGGAGAGAUUCCAUAAGACAACAGUUUGGAAUGGAUUUUUGUUGCCCAUGGGCUGGUGAAUUCGUCUCUCCAAAGGCACUGAAUAAGAUGGUAGUUUGGCAAUUUAUGCCAAAGGGACAGCCAAUAAUUAAAGGCAUGUCUCCACAUCAGAAUCUCAAGGGAGGGGGUCUUAAGUUCUAAGCGAAUGGCAGAGUUGCUUACACAGGAGGGUAGUUUCAAAAGGCGUCUUAGAAAAGGUUUUGCAAUGUCACCAGAGGCAAGAGGUUUACAAAGACGCCCCAUAAAGGGACCGCAUAGGCCAUAGUUGCAACCACUUUUGCACUAUAAACUUUUAAGGCAGAUGGAACAUGCAUAGCCCCUCAGUAAAGAAGAAGCGUAGUAUAGCGUAGAUAAGGGCUUUCACCUUGUUUUGUAGAUAUGUGAUAUGCGCUUUCCAUCCCAUAUUAUACUGGAAGUAAAUUCCUAGAUAUUGAAAUUUGUAAACUUGUUCAAUUGGCUUCCCUCAAGUUCCCAUCUAUACAGUUUACGACUCCUGGAAAAAAUUAGGACUUUAGAUUUGGAAUGGUUAAUAGUAAGUAAAUUUGUUUGGCAAUAUGAUGCAAAAAUCUUAAGGGCCCUCCUCAAACCGAUUCGAGAAUAAGAGAGGAUCACCGCAUCGUCAGCGUACAAUAAUAAGGGGCAGCGAUAGUCUGCAAGCCUGGGUGCAUGAAUGGAGGUUUGGGCCUCAGCUAGGGGCGUCCUCAUGUCACUAAUAUAAAGGUUAAAAAGAUAGGGGGCAAGGAUGCACCCUUGUCGUACCCCCUUGUUUAUUGGAACUGAGUUUGUGAGAUCGCCCUCAGGUGUUAACCUCACCCUAGCAGCCGUCCCUUCAUGUAAUUUAAUCAAUAGCCACAACAGCCUUUUAUCUAUGCCCCACUUUGCCAGUUUUUCCCAUAACAGCUCUCUAGAGAUACUGUCAAAAGCCGCCUUCAGGUCUAUAAAAGCGGCACAUAGAAGACCAUGAGUAGGGGAAGAAUAUUUCCGCGCCAAAUGAUAUAGAAUUAUAGCAUGGUCAAUAGAAGCGCGAUUUGGUCUAAACCCGACCUGUUCAUGGCCUAUCAGAUUGGAAUCUUCGGCCCAUUGGGUUAGUCUGGUUAGCAAGAAGCGAGUGUAGAUUUUUCCGAUGAUUGAUAAUAAACUGAUAUUACGAUAGUUUCCUGGGUCCUCUGGUGGUCCUUUUUAUAUAUAGGAAUUAUGAUGGACUCCUUCCAUGAUGUAGGUAUCUGGCCCGUGGCAUUGAUUGUAUCAAAGAUUUUUGCAAGAAUUUUAGCCCACCAUAUUGGAUGUUGUUUAAUAGCUUCCGCCGGGAUCAGAUCGGGCCCUGGGGCUUUAUCAGUUUUCAGUUUGGCAAUUAAAUCUACUAUUUCCUCCGGGUCAGUAUCUGGCCAUAUGGGCAAGUUACUUGAGAGAGUAUCAGAUUGGAUGUUAGAGAUGUCUGUCUGGGAGAAAUAUUUUCUUAGAAAUUGUUCCCAUGUCGGGGCUGGGAUAACCGUCAAUGGGUAUUUCCUCGAUCUUUUGUUGAUUAAAUUCCAAAAACCGCGAGAGCUGCGAAGCUUAGAGGCAGCAAUCAGCGCUUGCCAACGUCUUAGCUGCCACUCGUGCUUGGCUGACUUCUGAGCCUGUUUGUAAGCAAUUUUGGCCUGCAAGUACUCUGGGGGGAGAGUUUCAGCUCCAGAGGCUUUAUAUCUGUUGUAGAUACAACAGAGAGAGAGUCUAGCUUGCUUACAUUUGGCUUCAAACCAAGGAGCACCGAACCUGGGUUGAUCUCGUUUUGCGAGGUGAGCCGGCAUCGUAAAGAAGCUAGUUAAAUCUGCAGAGAAGUGGAAGAACCACUCCAGUAUCCUAUUUGGUUCAGACAGCUCCGCCAAUGAAACAAUAAGGGAUUCGGAGCUAUUCCUCUGGAAGAAUUCUGCAUAUUUUUGGGCCUGUUUCAUGGACCAUUUAAUGCCUCUUACUUGAGCUGUGGCAUUUAAACCUACAUGAAUUGGGUGUGUUCCGCUAACCGGGUGCCAGUCAAGCGUUAGCUUGGCCGCUAGAGGUAGGUGAUCACUGGAUUGUACAUUAUCUACUUUGAAAUAAAAGAAAUUUGAAAAUAGGUCUUCUGAGACUAGAAGAUAAUCUAGGACACUAUUAGAUGUUGUGCCCAAAUGAGUGAAUUCACCUGGCACGUCCGGAGGGCAGUUGCCAUUUAGAAUGUUCAAAUUCAUACGAAUGGCCAAUUGAUAAAGAAGGACUCCCGCCUCAUUCACUCUGUUGUCCUUGGAUCUUCUUGAUGUGAAAGAGAUUAAAUCAGAUUUUGGGUAGGGGGGAGAUACCCACCACUUGGCCUUAAUUAUCCCAUUCCAGUUGGCAGCUGUACGUGCAUUGAAGUCACCACCCAUUAUCGAUGGAAUAUUAGGGUACUUAACAUAGCAUGCCAAUAAAUGAUCUUCCAGAGAAUCCCAUCUAUAAUGAAGGUCUGAUAUCAGACCACCUGGAGGAAGAUAAACAUUGGUGAUUAAUAGUGAGAGUUUUUCACUUGAAAUCAGACCAGUAAAAGCAAAAGGAGGAAAGGUAUGAACUAGCGAGAGUUUAGCUCUCAUUUUAAGCGAUAUGGCGAUUGCAAGACCGCCACUGGACCGGCCACCUUUCUGGGAGGGGAUAGCUGGAAGUGAUAUCAGUUCAAAGCCAUUUAUAUCUAUUUUAUCUUCUUCCCAUGUUUCUUGCAAAAGGAUUAUCUGGAAAGAGUUUAUAUAGGACAGAAAUUCGGGAUCUAAUCUUUUCCUUUUCCAGCCAGCAAUGUUCCAACUUAGGACUGCUAGCAGGGGACUUCUAUGUUGUUCUUUUAACAGUCAAAAUGGAGGGGGGGCAGACUCUCUGUUAAAGACAGAAGAUGUAACAAAAAAGUCAGUUAUUUUACUUUGGGAAGAUGGUAACUGUGAGGCGCCCUGCAAAUUAAAGUUUUUAACAAUUUGGUUCGACUGUUGGCACACCGUGGAUGAUCCACUGAAAGUAGAUCUCUGAACAGGAAGUCUCUUCAUUUCGAAAUUCUUGGUACAACUUGACAGAGAAAUACCCAGGUAGGGGAAAUUGAGUCCGUCGGGGUAAACCCUCUCGUAGAUUUGUCAUCCGACAUUCGGAUUAUUUUAUUGAUGCGUCCCAUCGGGUCUUCAAUCAUUUCUGACGGCGGGUCCCGAGGUGUAACAUUCGCAGUUUCCUUUGAAGGAGGUAAUUGAGGGGGCAUCACGGAGGUGGAAAUUGCGGAAGACUCUCUCAGGGGCAUCACUUGUGGACUACUUCUAUAUCUGGACGAAACUGGAGAAGAUUCUAGCUCUGGCAUAGAUGAGUGAGUUAAAGAGGGAUUUGAGUCAAGCAGGGAAAUCAGAAUUUCGUCCUUAGGUAUGUUGGUUGAUGAAUAUAGAUGAAGGUUCAGUGAGGAUGGCAGAGCCUGGUCGUCUCGUGAUGUAGCGCACGCUGCAGAAGCAACUUGAAGAUUUGAGUCUUGUCGGAUGGUUUUUGAAUUCAGAGUGGGGCUGAGCUGAAGAAGGUCAACCACUUCUGUCCGGUGGGCCCAAGUGGGAUUAUUUGAGACAUCGUUAGUAUCUUCCCUCUAUGUUGAACUUGCAAAAGCUGAGAUUUAAGCGUGUCAAAUCUUUGCAUCAUCACCGACUGUUCUUUCGGAGGAAGGGCUCUGAAUGAAUCAAUAAGUUCCCUUUCGUCGAGGGCAGUCUGCAGAUUAUCAUCCUCAUAUAUAGCAGUUUGAGAGGGUAUCGAGUUUGGUCGCGGAUGGCACGCUGCAGAGUCAUCGCGAUUGGGCCUGACAGUAUUUUGAAGUAAGGCAGAGUCUCUUGUCCUAAUGUCCUCACCGCCAGGGCACCUAUUUAGAAGGGGUUUGAUCUUGCUGUCUGUAAAAACCCUCGUUGCUACAAUGUCGGCCAUGGACAAAAGCGUUUUCCUCCUAACAAUAAUAGAUGGUAUCUUUUCAGAGUGGAACGCAAGUAUCACCUUCAAGAAGUUGGUCUGCCGGGGAAGGGGCAUUACAGCAUAUAGGUCAAUCUGAUAUUUCUUAAUUUUUAAAAGUUUGCUUAAGCAGUCUUUAGCUCCUUCUAGCGUUGACCAUCUUCCUCUUUCCGACCUGACAGAUAGGCAACUUUUCUUGGGUUGCAAAGUUAAUAUCUGAUUGUUCAAUUGGGAAUUUAAGACAUAUUUAGUUUUAGUCUCCAGUAUUUUAUCUGAAUGGGGGUGAGGCAAUAAGUUUUUGACCUCACAAACUGAGGAUUGUGUUGUUGAUUCAAGUUUUCCGAUUUUCAGCAGGAUAUUGGAUAAUUGUGAAGAUACCUCGUCCAGCCUUUUAAAAAUACAGUGAAGGGUCUUAAUUACUAAGUGUAACUGCUCACAUCUGGGGAACUCCCCAUAACAGAUGCCAAACCAUCAUCCUGCGAUGAGAGUUUUUCUUUCGUAUUCUCCUUUACAGGCUUUACAUUUGAAACAUUUUGAGUCAUCGGAAUCGGAGUAGCUUCUAAAUCAAUUAGAGGUUGGAAGCGAUUUUGGGUUUCCACUGCAAAGCCUUGCUCGGCAUGGUCACUCCCUCCUCCAAUCCGGUGUGGCACCAACCUUGAUAGUUUUGGUUUAGGGGAUGAUAGGGGCUCGUCAAAGUCUCUCAAGCGUUUUUUCUGACCCAUGCUUUCCUCAGGCCAGAGAUUAUACGAUUCUUAAAAUAACAUAACACUUAACACGCAAUUAAGAUAAUGGCGUUCUCAACUCCUUUAGCAGCUAAAGCCAGCCCGCUGAUAUGAGAGAAACAAAGAGCGGCUUGCAGCAGUCUGGAGCAGGGCCAAAUCUCUCAAAGAGUUUCCAUAGUAUGCGGCUGCAGCAAUUAUAAAAUACUUCAAAAACUGACUGAGUCAGUUGCGAUAAAAGUAUAAAAGAUUAAGAGAAGAUUAAAAGAAGUCCGAAGAGCACCGGUAAGCGCGUCUUACCUCGGCGCCAUGUUGGCUUCCUCCUUUCCAAGUUGUGUAGGUAAUGGCACAGCACUUUGCAAGCCCUGAUGAUCAGCUGAUAGUCACUGCUUGCAAAGCACCCUGCAGAGGGCUUUUUGGGUGCUGGUGAUUGGCAGCGCCAUAAACCACCUUUCGGCCCAGCCAUUUUUACCUGCCCUACAUCUGAUGCCAUAUAGGAUGUUUGGUGUAGGGCAGAUUGGCCCAAACAGCCUCAUGGAACAAACGGAGAGGCUGGCAGGCCUAAUUAGCACUCUGGCAUAGCUAAGAUUGUGUUCUGACAUAUAUCCACAAUUGAGGUCUGAAAAACCAGUAAGCUCAAUCUUCUGACAAACCAGAUUCAUCUGGCUCCCCUGACCUGCCAGAUCCCCUCUGGUUCUGGCAGGUUCUGACAUGGCUUCAGUGCCCUGGACUCCACUUCCUUGUUCCUCCUGGCAGGAGAAGGUAAGUUUUGAAAUCACAAGUUGACAAAUGUUUAAAAAUGCCUUAUGAAUUUGUAAUCCACCACGCCAUGAUGUGACUUCACUCAUGAACUGAUUCCUCUGUGGAAGUCAGUUGCCUCCAAACUGUCACACAGACUUCAUGUAAAGGAUAUAAAAAGGAAGUUACUGUCCUAGCCUUCUGCACAAUAGCCGCACUCAGCAGAAUUAGAGCACAUUAAGGUUUCAUUAAUAACAUGGCUUGCUGAAGUCAAGAAGCUGGCUGCAUUAAAGAAAUAUAAUUAGCUCUAAAAGCAUAAUAGCGUAAAAGUCAUCAGUAGGCUCCUUGGCCCUCAGUGUACAAACAAAUGUGUUGUUUUCUUAAAGAGCUAUUUAAGAGGCUAUUGGCUCUACAAAUGAUACCAUUAGUUGGGAGUGUCUGCAAGAUGCCAAACCAAAACACAACUGCAAGAACAGCCAGAAAAGUUAUUUAUCGUUCUUUGGUUACUUAGUGGAAACAUGGUCUUGCAUACAAAGAGCUGCAUUAAAAGCUCAUUGGGGGGUCCCAACAAAAGUGCUGAAAGCUGGCCUCAGUUCUUCCCUCAUGAUAUACCUCCAUGGCCUUCUCUUGCAGUGUUGAGGAAAAGGAUCCAGUCUUGUGACCCUAUAUUAGAACAAAGAUGACUACCAUGAUUGUAACAACUAUUGUGAAAUCUCUCUGUUGACUACAGUGGGGAAAAUCUUUGCCUGUGUAUCUCUCAAAAGAUUACAGUUCCUCAUUAGCAGAGUCUCUCCCAAGCUUUAGAGCUCAGAGGUCAGCAUGACAUGAUUUUCUUUAAUAUGAUAUUUUAUUUGCCACUCCCAGCUUGCUGGUAGCUCUUCCUUGGCCUGUGGUUCAAGUGGAGGUGGCCAACCUCUAUAUAUCUGGUGUCAUUAUGGAACAUGUGUCACAUUUGUUCUCUUUUGAAAGAGGGGAAAAACUCAGCAACUGUGGCAGGAAGUUGGCUAUAUGUUAAAGCAAUAAUAAUAAGCCAGGGGUAAUGUUCUGGAAGUCAGUUCACUGAAGGAUAAAUGAAACUUUGGGAAAACCAGAGAAAGCUUUGGGGCUUUUGAGCAAAAGUGAGGUCUUCUAAUGUUCUCAAUGGUAUUUGUGGGUGGUAAAAUGGGGCAGGGUGAAGGUGGGAUAAUGUAAAAUCCACUAUAAUUGUUCCUCAGAAAUGUCUCCACUGAUAAAAUUUUGGCUCACUUGAUGUUGAAUGAAACAAUUAUUCAGUGGAGGGAGGAAGCUACAGGCUAAGAGAGAAGAACUGGGUUGGAAAGGAGCCAAGCUUCCUUCAACAACACUGAAAUAAAAUCCAAACAAUAUUAGAAUUGGAUCCACAGUUGCAUCCGAAACAUAUAGAUGGUGAAACUGGGCUGGCCAUUUGCUGAAUAUUCUUCAGGAAUGACUCAAGAUCUCCAAGAGUUCAGGAACAGCUCAAAAGAAAGCUAUUUUUCUGCUAUCGUUCAGACUGUGGUUGCACAUGGGGACUAGUGGUAUGCUAUGUCUGCAUCUUGUCUUGCAGGCCACCUAUGUUCUUCUGGCACAUAGGCCCUGUGGGUUCUGCUUGGAGCAUGCCUCCAAUGUGUCCAAAAAGGUCAAUCCAAGAGUGACAAAAGUUGAGAGUAAGGAAGGGUCCUGUAAUAGGAUCUCUGUUGAGGUUUAGCUGAUGUUGGAAUCAGCUCCAGUGGAAGCUAAUGUUAUCUAAGCAGGUUAUCUAUCAGUAAAAGAAGCACCUAGCAGAACCAUCAGAAGCUCGGGCAUUCAGAACCAUCAGAAGGGUGGCAUCACAGACCCAUAAAUCCAUUGGGUGAAAAUCGUCAUAAAUAAAACUUCCACUGCUUCCAUUGCCGUGGGUGGGAGGAGGUGGGCUUGGUGGAGUAGAAGGUAACCCUCUAAGCUGCUGUAAUGACAGCUUUCUGUCUCCAGCCACACCUUUCCAUUUUUGAAUUGGUCUGAAAUUCUUCACAGUGUAACAUUUAAAAAGCAAUAAUAAUCGUAUCAUCAGAGAAUGUUUUUGAUUAUUAUUAUUUUUUGCCAAGCCUGGGCAAAAGAAAUGGUAGUUUAAGUAGACAGUAAAGACACAGUAUGCUCUAGCAGAAGUGACAAAAAUAUCAUAAAGACAAUUUAUUCCUCUUCUGCAGUUUGCACUACAGUUUUUACAAAGAGUGCCAAAGGUAAUUAGCAGCAGAAUUCAGAUAAAGUAUUCAAACUUUGGGAUCUAAACAGCCUAAUCUCUGGGCCCCAACUAUGUUGAAUAGCUCAUUCAGAUCUCUCUCUGUACCAUAUAAGACACACAUCUCCUCUUACCUUGUAAAUACCUCCCUGAAAACUUUGCUCGGGCAUUUAGAACAGCAGGUGAUCUCCAAUACAUGCUGUUCAUCUGAAACAGGAAUCUUUUCCCUUUAUGUGCUAUCUCAAGAGAGGCAAAUGAGAAAGCCCAUUGGAAAAGUAUUCUCACUAAUAAAAUGUUAUCUCAAAAAGCACCGUCAAAUAAUGCAGACAGAGCAUUAAUGCAUAAACAAAGCUGUCACCCUUGGUGGAUCGGCUGUGAUUUAGCAUUGCAAAAACAGAACAAUCACAGCUGAGUGAUGGGGUGGGGAGGGAGGAAAUGAAUUUGUAUUUUAUCACAGCAAUUUCCUACAGAUAUUAUCAAGCCAAUUCAGCAAAAGGAGUGAAUAGGUAGAUAUUGCUGGAUUAGGGGAGCUCAUUUGCAAACCUUCUGAUCAAAUCAACAGCUGUGGAAAAGUUUGUUCAAAGUCAAUAUGCUACACACCAUAGAAAUGUUACACACCAUAGUUUAGGCCAUGAAUGGCCACUUAACAGCCUGGGGUUCAAAUCAAUACCCCAAAACAACAUGGCGUCCCUUCAGGAACCUCCCCUGUUUUAAGGGAAGUGUGGUCAAACUCCCCCCCCAUACAAUUAGGACAUCUUUCAAAAAGUUUGUUACUGUUUCAGCCCAUCUCUGAUGAUGACCUUAUACCACUUGGGCAUAUCACCAGGACAUUUUCUGAAGAUGUUAAACCAAUUGUGUAAAGGAACCUACAGAUUUUAAAUUUUAUUUUCCCUAAAGGGGGGAGAUAACUGGUGGAAUCUGCCCUUUAAAAAAGCAAUAAAAAUAUUGUUGAGCAGAUCUGUUACAGAUCUGAAAUUCGGGAAGAUGGCGAUAUAGCUUCACCGGAAGUCCUCCAGAAUAGAUUUUCAAAUGAAAAUGCUAACACUAUGCACCAGGAUUUCUGCUAAGAUCAGAAACAAGCCUAUCUGCUACUGAAAGGAUGGGGAAUCUCUAUCCCUCCAGAUGUUGUUAGAUUCCAACUCGCAUCAGUCCCAGCAAGCAUGACCUGUGGUUAGGUAUGGUCGGAGCUGCAAUUCAACAACAUAACAGAGGGGUGCAGAUUCACACACCCCUUGCUCUGCUGAAUCCAUUUUAACAGUGUCAACACAAGCAGAUGAGCUGAUGAAACACUCUGGUCACACAUCACAUCUGUGCAACAGCAAAGGCUAUGCUUGGGCACAGCAGUUUUCCUGAAAAACCAAAUUCAAUUUUGAAUAGACAGGCUUCUAGCCCACACUGCUGCCAGCUCAAUACAACUUGAAAACAUGAAUGAAAUGUGUUUUGAGCGAUCAAAAUUCAAAGGAGAGAGACCCCCCGCCCCCAUUUUUCCAAGAUCAGUCAGUGAUCAGCUUUCCUGUACUAGGCACUGACCUCGAUAUCAUUCAGACAAUAUAAUAUUUCAAUCACACAGAUCGCAAUAAAACGAGAGAGAGAGAAAUUCAGUACAAUUAAUCUCCAGUUUAGACUAAACUAAGAUCCAUUAUCUGCUUAGGAGUCCCCUACAUUAACUAUCCUGAUUUUUUUUUCUAUUUCCUUCACCCUGAGUUUUCUUACAGCUAAAGCAUAGUGUGCUGUUCUAUAGGUCAGGGUGUUUCCAAGACAGCCGCUGAAUGAAUAACUGAAACCUAACAAAUCAAUUAAAUCCCUCAAACUGAUGUCACAUUAAUUCAAUAUUUGAGAAGGAAUCAACUUCCAGAAUUAAAUAAUAUAUGUCUCUGUGAGUAAAUACUGGGUGGGGGGGAUCACAUUAAUUUCUCAGUCUCAGCAGUAAAUACGGUUACUGCAGAAUACAAUUUAUGACUUAUUCAUGUAGCUAGCAAUAUUUUAUAGACUGAAUUCCUUUUGCUCUUAAAAGUUCAAGUCAAUAUGUCUGCAGACGCUGCUGUGAUUUACAUAUUGUUGUAAACGUGCUCCUUGAGAAUGAAGGAUUGCAUUUUCCUCUAGGGAUUUUCUUUAGCCUAGCACUUGAUGGAGGAUGAUAGGAAGGUCCUCAUUUGUGAUGUCUGAGGGUACAUCAACUGCUGGACAUUGUGUUCUCCCUCACCUGCUUGGAUGGGGGUGGGUGGGAGCUGAACCAUCUUUGGUUGUCUGACAUCUGUCAACAUUUAAUAUGAGUUUUGAGCUCUGCAGUGGCUGGAUGCAUCUGUAAGCCACUACACCAUGCGACUUAAUCUUGUUUAUGCAUGUAUGUAUAGUGGCACCUCAGGUUAAGUAUUUAAUUCAUUCCGGAGGUCUGUUCUUAACCUGAAACUGUUCUUAACCUGAAGUACCACUUUAGCUAAUGGGGCCUACUGCUGCUACCGUGCCGCUGGAGCACGAUUUCUGUUCUCAUCCUGAAGCAAAGUUCUUAACCUGAAGCACUAUUUCUGGGUUAGCAGAGUCUGUAACCUGAAGCGUAUGUAACCCAAGGUAACACUGUUGUGGCCUAGGAAGCUGAUGGGCACCCAGAGUGGUAAGCAUUAUGUGCACCUGGGGGCGGGCCGAUCUGCCCAGGGGCGAGUCAGUCAGCCCACUGGGGUGCGCUGAUCUUCCCGGGGCUGCCAUCGGCACCUUGCUGAUCUGCCCAUGGGGGUGCGCCAAAUGUCAUCCCCUUCCCUGGGAUGACACCUGUCCUUUCCCCUGCCUGUCUCCUCUAGCCAGGAGCAUGGGUGGCGGGGCAACCACACGCCCCCCUGCCCAUGACUCCCAAGCCUACAGCUACAGUGAGCUGGGAGAAGUGGUGCAGCAUCGGCUUUGCUGGUGGCCCCACUGUAGCCUUGGGAGUCACGGGGGGCAUGCCAAAUGUCACCCCCCUUCAGGGUGACACCCAGGGCGUGCCGCACCCCCCUUCCUACACUCCUCCAUGUAUGGCAUAUCUGAUUUUAAAAUCGUUUACUAUUUCAGAACAGUUUCCUCCCCAGGCCUGAAACAGAGUGAAUACGUGUAUCUAGUAUUUGCCCUGCACACUCCACACAUCUGAUCAAGUAGACUUUCACCUACAAGAAUACAGGCCUCAAUAAAGUUGUUAGGUUGAAAGGUGCAAGUUUUUGCAUUCCUAUUCUUAUUUGGAUGCUUUGGGGGCUGUGACUUAACACUCCCUUGAAGUACCCCUCCCUUCCUUUGUAAUGUCAACAAGAGAAAUCUGCCUGAAAGAAUCCACCAAUCACAUUGCUAUUUAGAUCUUUGAGAACUAAUCUCAGUAAAUUAGCUUUAUUACUUACAAUAUGUAGUUAUAUGGGCUUUAGGUUUCAUUUUUUUUAAAAAAAUCACUCCCCUUCAGCACCCCUCACUGAUAAGAGUAUUUUGAUACAGAAAAACCCACAUAUCUGAAACACUGCAGAAGUUGCUGUCCCUGUGAGGAUACCAAUAAACUACCACUCUAAGCACUCCUGACCGUCUGUGGUGUGACCUUCUCCACCACACUUUACUUUUAAAACAAAAAGGUCCCAAGAUUUAUUUUACAAUCAGCUUCUUUCAGGUCACACAAUAGACGGGAUCGUUCAGUUACUACCACCCAGGCUAGCUGCUAGCUGGAGACGACAAGAUGAAUAUCUGUAAGAUUGCAUUACCAGUUCUUGGAACCAUUGUGCAGCUCAUCUGAAUGGUGCUAUCAAAUGAUGCCCUAGAUAAACUCUCUUCAUUGCAUAUUAAAUUGGACACACAGAGAGAAUGAUUUCCCCUAUUAUUGCUUGCCAAGCCAUUUUACUUAACACAACAUUAGUCCUAUCCAUGCAUUUCCUUAAUAAACUGAUUACUCUUAGCAUUAGAGGGAAUAAGGUUAUUUCCCCCUUUAUUUUUAUAGCUUGAUUUCACUCCUACACAGAACAAUGCUUUCCCUACCCCCCCCUUUCUCUCUCUCUCUCUCUCUCACACACACACACACACAUUUGGGAUUACUAAAAUCUCUGAUAGACAGAUUAACCUCUUGUGCUCAUCUAUCUCAUCCUUAUUCAAUGAUACAUGACUACAAUGACUUUUGCAGAAGAAAGUGUUACUAUUAAAGUGUCCCAGACUGCUAGUAUAAUUCUAAAGCAGAAGACACAUACCGCAUUCUAGAAGCCUCUGUCUCCAUAAUGUCAUUCUGGGCUGGGUAUCCUGUGGCCCUGCAGAUGUUGCGGAAUUAUAAUUCCCAUCAACCUCAGUCAGCAAGGCCAAUAGUCAGGAAAGAUGAGAGUUAUCUCAACAUCUGGAAGACAUUGUUUAUUGCCUGCUUCAGAGGUUCUGCUGUUGAGAUUUGUUCAGGAUGUCAUGGGGAAUUUGGACUGGGAUCUUACAAGUGUUUCUUAAGCUUCUUGUUGCUAAAGUAUUCCAGAGGUUAAAAACUGGUUUCUUGUACCUGUCACACCGAUGGGGGCAUGUCACUUUUUUAUAUCAAGUUAUCUGCAGUUGAAUUUCUCUUAUAAUUCAUGGUGCAGAGUUAUAGUAUUUGGGGGAAACUACAGACAAGUCUAUGUAUUUGAAAACGCUUCUGCAGAUAUCGACAUUUUUGAUACUGUAUAAAUAUAAUAGUUUGUGUUGAAUGGAUAAUGGAUUUUCUUUUUGAUUCAACUCAGUGUGCAGUGGCUGCGAAAUAAGGCAAAUCCCAUGCCUUAAAAUGUAAAAGUUUCAUUUAACAAAAAAGCGCAGAGAUGUUAUUAAGCUGGUCAAUGUGAAGCACCUGCAUGUAUCUUUUUAAACAGUGCAUGCAAGACUAUGCACCCUAUGACUGCACUUCAAUAUUGGAAGGCAAGAGCAAGAGACAAACCACCCCCAUCCCCGCUCAAAAAUUGCUCCAUAGUUCUCACAUCAACCUCUUCUUUCAUCAGGUGGUUUCUUUCUGCCCGUCACCCACCCCCACCCCCCAAAAAUGUUGAAAAUAUUGGCACAGCUGUCAGAAAGACACUGCUUCCCUGGGAAAUAUGUGACUCCAGCCUCAGAAACAUAAAGCGAUGUCUCACAUCAACAGCAGGCCUCCACUGAAAGAUUUGGGAAGGAACCCUGAAUAGCAGAACAGCUGGAACUAUCUGACUUUGGAUGUGCCACUGGGACAAUUUUAGAGAUGUCUGAGAGUUCGCUCUGACAUGUCACCAGCCCAAGACUUAAAGCUGCCCUCCAAAGUCUUCAGAAGCAGUAGCAGCUGGCAGGGCGCGGCAGGGUGAGGAGACAUGGCUUGCCUGACUUCCUAACUGUCAGUAAUCGAGAGGAGGAGGGGCAAGGCUGCAGGGCAGUUGGCACAGAAUGGGCAGAGCAGUGGGAGAAUAUGAUGUUGUGCCCACACUACACUGACCUCUCCGCUGCCUCGUCCUUCCCCCUUUAGGUUAUUGGCAGAAACCUUCAUGUCAGAAAGUCAGGUGAGCAACACUUCCCCACCUCACUCUGCCCUGCUGGCCACUAAACCAAGAUUCAAAACUGGUUUUUCUCAAUAAACCAUGGGUAAAAUUAACUACAGUUCCAUUGGUAAGAAUAACACGGCUAAUUGAAAGCAGAAGAUUACAACUUCCUCUUAUGGCAGCGUCUGAUGGGGAAAGAGAAUGAAUGAACCCUAGGCUCAUUAAUGUAAUGCUAAGCCACAGUCAACCACAACAUUUCAACACAGCCGUUGUAAAUCAUUUGGUUUCACCUGAUGAGAAAAUGCCAAACUUCGUUUUUAAAAAAAUGAAAUUUCAGUAGCAUUCUAGUCUCCAUUUAAAAGGGAGACAUAUGUUUGGAGAGCAGAUACAGCCCAUCAUAAUUUUCCACCCGUUUUAACAAUGUCCUACUGCAAUGUGUAGCUAUCAAAUUGUCAUCACAGAUUUGUGGUGAUGCUAAAGUUUGGGAUGUUGGCAUUUGUAAUGGCAAACCUGAGGAUCCCCUCCCACCCCUGAGAUCAUUGUGAGUGAGAGCCUAUACUACAACAAAGUUUCCAGCACCACAAACAACCCCCUUCUCUUUUCACAGAAAAAAAUGGGAAACAAAAAUGUCCACAAAACUCCCCUCCCCCAAGUUUAGUUCUAUUUUUCCCCCCUUUGGGGACAGGGAGAGGUGAAUAAUUCUAGCUUUCAGAUAGCGUUUGUGUGUUGUUUUGUUUUAGUUGUUGAGCAGAUAGAACAUCGAUUCUUACUUUCAUAAGCUCUUAACAUUUCUUGAAUUAUCCACUGCAAUUGCUCACCUGGGAAACCAAUAAAAGGGAGGUAAUACCAUUUUAAUUGCCUUUUAAUACUAUUUAUCCCUUUGGUUAGAAAGGCGCAAAGUACCACAUCACCCCAGAGCUCACUUUGCCAGAAGCAAGUGCUAGUUCAUGGAUCAAUGUCAGACAGGGAAGAGAUAAAGAGUGGUGCUCCACUCCAGUGAUGCUCAACAUCCUCAUAAAUGAUGUGGAUCGUUGAUGUGUCCAUCAAAAUGUGCGGAUGAUACAGAUUUUGAAAGAAAUGCAUGGAUUCUGGAGAUGAAAUGCCAGUGUUAAUCUGCAGCACUGAACGGUAGUCAAAUUAUAUCUAACAAAUAUAAAUUAGAAUAUAUGUGGGAAAGAAUCUAAAGAACAGGUUCCAGGGUUUCCAGGUUAUAAUCUGAAUAUGAAACAGCAAUAUGAAUCUGUUUCAGAAAAAGAAAUGCAAACUUGUGUCUUGCUGGGUAUGUUGAAAUUUCCUUCUUAUCCCCUUUACUCAACUGCUUGCAUCAGGCACAGUCUCUGUUUUCUUGUACCUGCAAAUUUAUUGGCUCUAUUUUGUAUUUUGGAGGGAUGGGGAUUUAAAAAUAAAAUAAAAUAUGCCAUUAGUCUAAACUGGUGGAGUUGCUGGUCUUCAGGAUUCUAAUCUCCCUGAGAAAUCUCCAGAACCUCAAUCUCUACAUUGGAUCCAUUUUGAUUCUAGUGUGUAUAUGUAUGUAAAUGCGUACUCAUGAACGCAAAAUCCCAGAGCACUGCUUCUCUUCCAUCCAAGAAUCACUGCCUUUCCAGAUAGUAAAUGUUGCUAAAUGUUUUGAGCUGAAUCUGUUCCAUACAGCCACAUCCAUUGUGAGAUUAAACAUUCUUCAGGUUGUUGCCACUCUUGUUUUGGAGUGAAUUGGGUUGCAAAUGAAUAAAAAUCUGCAGAACAUACUCGCUCACGAAAAUGUUCUGCUCAUGCAUAACAGUAUAUACUGUGUUAGUUUUAUGAUGUUAGCUGCCCUGAGUCCAGCCGGGGAGGGUACAAAUAAAAUUUAUUAUUAUUAUUAUUAUUAAUUUUUAUUUAUAUCCCACCCUCCCCAGCCGAAGCUGGGCUCAGGGCGGCUAACAACAAUCAAAAUAAUCCAACAUUCUAAAAACAUUCAUUCUAAAAUUAAUUAAAAUCAAAUUGAUGGCAACCAUUAAGCAAAAUUCUGUGCAGAUUGCCAGAGGAGGGGGUCAGGCUGUGCCCUGACCAAAGGCCUGGUGGAACAGCUCUGUCUUGCAGGCCCUGCGGAAAGAUGUCAGGUCCCGCAGGGCCCUAGUCACUUGUGGCAGAGCGUUCCACCAGAUUGGAGCCGCUCGGGUUGCGAACGUGAUCCGUGCAGGAGGCCCGUUCACAACCCGCAGCGUCACGUCUGCGCACACAUGAGUUGCGAUUCGGAGCUUCUGCAAAUGCGCGACCCCCGAAACCCGGAAGUAACCUGUUCCGGUACUUCCAGGUUUCGGUGCAUUGGUAACCUGAAAAAACGCAACCCGAAGCAUCUGUAACCCGAGGUAUGACUGUAUUAUUUAUUUAUUAUUAUUAUUAUUAUUAAUAAUAAUAUAUAAUUUUGGGCACUUCCUGAAAUGAAUGAAUAAAUCCACUCCCUUGGUUUUAGAGACUAGCUGAUCACUGGAGACAGUUACUCUCCAAAGAUGAUUAGGUGAGUGCUUAGAAUCAUAGAAUCAAAGAAUUGCAGAGCUGGAGGGGACCCCAACAGUCAUCUCUUCCAACCCCCUGCAAUACAAGAAUCUGAACUAAAGAUUGCAAGAUGGUUGUUGUGCUUAAUUGCAAACUGAUUGCUGUAGUUUUCAAAAUGGAGCUCAAGUUGCUUCAGAAGCCUAUGGAAGACAAGCCAUUGGAGAAUAAAUGCAUAUAGAUUACACCCUGUGGAUAGCUCAGUUGGUAGAGCAUGAGAGUCAUGGGUUCAAGCCCCAGUUGAGCAAAAGAUUUCUGCAUGGCUGGGAGUUGCACUAGAUCAGGCUUCCUCAACCUCGGCCCUCCAGAUGUUUUGGGACUACAAUUCCCAUCAUCCCUGACCUGCUAGCUAGGGAUCAUGGGAGUUGUAGGCCAACAACAUCUGGAUGGCCAAGUUUGAGGAAGCCUGGACUAGAUGAUCCUCAGAGUCCCUUUCAACUCUACAAUUCAAUUAUUUUAUUAUCUGUGAAUGUAAUGUCUAAUCAUGGAAUAUGUGGCUUGAGUUGUGAUCGUUGGCAUGGCAGUCAAGUGUAUUAGCAGUCCACAAGAGCGUCCCAUUUUGGCUGCUGUUGUUUCUUGCUGCUGCUGAUGUUAUGUUACUUUUAUGCAUUGAUUGGAAAAAACAAAUAGCAUAAGACAUGCAUUUUAUACUUACAUUUGUGAACCGUUCUGUGAUGUGUAAACAGAAAUAAUAAAUAAUAUUUUCAUGUUUGACAUUUGAAGGGCAUGUUAGCUGAAAUAGAUUUACUAGAAGCGAGCCCCAUCAAUUUCAAUGGGAGCUUAAUCUCAAGAAAGCAUUCUUAGGCUCACAACCCAAUUUUGCUUUAUUCCCCUUUCCAAAACACUGUACCUCUAAAAGUAAUUUAUGAAAUGCCUAGCGAUCUCUUCCCUGGGAUGACCUAGGAAAGGUGUCUUAUUUCACAGUCUAAUAGAAUUCAUUUAAGGUACCGGGUGAGUUACUGUUAGUGCUCCUUCCACUUCUAAUACCUUGUGAGAGUGAAUUCCCCACUUAUCAGAGACUUCCAUCUUGACUUUUAUGCAAUGGCUUUCUAUAGGAGCUGACAGAACGAUGCACUGAGCUGUGUGCUUUUCCUGUUUUAAUUAGAUUAAAAUUUAUGUUUUAUUGUAUGGAAGUUCUCUGUCCCAGUUAUGUAAAGAAGAAGGGGGGGAAUAAAUGUGCCAAUAAUAUAUGUACAUAGCUUCAAAUCACACUUCCUGUUGGUUAAGGAAGUGUGGUCUAUUGUGACAACAACAUUUUGAAGGAGUCCUUACGAGAAAUGCUGGCAAUAUCUCUAGGACUCAGGUGAAAAUGGUGGUGGUGCUGGGACUCCUAAUGCUUGCUCAAACAAGCAAGCAUUAGCAACCCUGAAUUCAGAUUAGAAUAUGAGCCAUUGAAUAAUAGGGGGUUUUUUUAUUAAUUGAAGAAUUAUGGCUCUAAAUCGCACUGGAGCCACUCUAAUUUGCCUUUCGACUCACAGAGCGCUUCCAACAAGGGUGUGAUGGCCUGGGACUCGGGCUCAGACUCAGAACCAGAGGAGACUCAGUCUGCACUUGAUCCUUUGCCUCGGGCAUUAUCUGAACCAAGUCUGGGGCCUAAUCCUGAAGAGUCCCAGUCUGCACAGGUUCUCCUGCAACAAACACCAGCUGAGACGAGUCAGGGGCCUGAGCCUGCCCUGGCUCCAGAUGCGGGGAUUACCUUAGAAUCAUAGAAUCAUAGAGUUGGAAGAGACCACAAGGGCCAUCGAGUCCAACCCCCUGCCAAGCAGGAAACACCAUCAGAGCACUCCUGACAUAUGGUUGUCAAGCCUCUGCUUAAAGACCUCCAAAGAAAGAGACUCCACCACACUCCUUGGCAGCAAAUUCCACUGUCAAACAGCUCUUACUGUCAGGAAGUUCUUCCUAAUGUUUAGGUGGAAUCUUCUUUCUUGUAGUUUGGAUCCAUUGCUCCGUGUCCGCUUCUCUGUCUAUGUGACAUCCUUUUAUAUAUUUGAACAUGGCUAUCAUAUCACCCCUUAACCUCCUCAUCUCCAGGCUAAACAUGCCCAGCUCCCUUAGCCGUUCCUCAUAAGGCAUCGUUUCCAGGCCUUUGACCAUUUUGGUUGCCCUCCUCUGGACACAUUCCAGUUUGUCAGUGUCCUUCUUGAACUGUGGUGCCCAGAACUGGACACAGUACUCCAGGUGAGGUCUGACCAGAGCAGAAUACAGUGGCACUAUUACUUCCCUUGAUCUAGAUGCUAUACUCCUAUUGAUGCAGCCCAGAAUUGCAUUGGCUUUUUAGCUGCCGCGUCACACUGUUGGCUCAUGUCAAGUUUGUGGUCAACCAAGACUCCUAGAUCCUUUUCACAUGUACUGCUCUCAAGCCAGGUGUCACCCAUCUUGUAUUUGUGCCUCACAUUUUUUUUUGCCCAAGUGCAAUACUUUACAUUUCUCCCUGUUAAAAUUCAUUCUCCCUGUUAAAAUUCAUUCUCCCUGUUAAAAUUCUUGUUGCCUUCAGCUUGGCCAUCACUUACAGCUGCUCCUCUACCGGUUGGGUCAGGGGAGGCUGAGGUGGCCCCUGGGUCUAGUAACCCACGACGUCUCCCGAGCUGCAGAGACUAAGGUCUGAGAGAAGGAGAGACCCGAGUACUCGCAGGAGGAGUGCUCGCCUUUGGGCAAAACAGGGAGGUUAGUCACUGGGGGAUCAGGACCGGCCGUUACCCCGACAAAGAUAAAAGGCUGUUGGACCCUGCCCCAGGUUGCGGGAGCAACAUUGCUGUAUGCUAGAACCUGCCUGAGAUCCUGUACCUGUCCUUUCCUGGUUUCCUGCCUUGGCCCUGUUGGACUGACUCCUAGCAGAACCUUUGGAUUCUGGACCAGUCCUGGACUGCAUUUCACAGGUUACCCCUGGGCACAGCACAAAGGGGAAGAUGGCACAUCUGGCUGGGAGCAGGGCUUGCCAACAUGCCCCACUUUCUCUCAUAUGAUUUUUCAUGUUGCAAUUUUCCUAAAGGCAGGAGAAUCGUAGACCAAUCAAAUUUAGCUCUAUUGCCGAGGAAAUAAAAUGAUACUUUUAUUGGGGGUGUGCCAGGAAAACUCACGUUUAAAAAAUUUAAUUAUGCCUUAAUAGCAAAGUUGUGAAUAAAAAAACAAACCUCAAAAACAUCCAGGAAGCUGACAUUUCACUGGUGAGACAUUACAUGUAAUGUAAUGCUGUGCUGUCACCUUAAAAGAUGUACACUCGUCUUUCAGAAUUACAUUGGUAUAGGAGCCUGGAGAUUAUAGGAAACUAAACUCACCCACUGGUUCCAAACUGUGCAAUAUUUGAGGCUAAUACUAUUUUAAAGACCCUGGAUACCACGUUUGAUUCCCCCCCCCCCAACCUCACCUGAUAUCAGCCAAGUAUAUUUUAAAUUGUUCCUGGGUACCAUACUCAAUACUUCAAAGCAGAUUCUUAUGACUGGCUAAUAUAUAAACCCUGCCUUCCAUCUGCUUGUGCACACUAAACACACACACACACCAAAAAAGAGAGUCAAAAUUGAGUUCUUUGCAUGAUGUACUACAACACUUACUGCAUUUGCUUUGAUCAAAGAUGAUUUUGACAAGAGUUAUAUUGCAUUUGUUAAUCAGCAAAAUGCUCUUAACAUGUUAUUAAAACAAGGUUAUUGAAUCUGAUGAAGGAAGACUGAUUUCUUUUUACUCAAAAGGCUAAACAAAACAUCCAAUCCGACAUGGUCAAAUGCAGCUUUUGGAAAGAGCAUGUCAUCUCCAUGUGUUCUUUUGCUUUGUUCAUGUCAUGCCCUUUCAGGAGUACACAAGUUAGCCCUACUUCCACCACCUCACAGGAAGAAGCUUCAGACCUCCAUGCACAGAGAUCUGUCUUAGUCAGGCUCCCUGGUGCAGGGAAGAUUCUAAGCAUUGUCAGCUGAACAUUCUUAGAAUCCCACUACAGCCCUUCAAAGAACAUGGGAACAUAAGAACUGGAGCACUGGGCACAGGGUACAAAUAUCCACCCUCUCCUCCCCCGUUAGCCCUCACAGGUCUAUGAAAUGCCUGAAUAAGGCUUGAAUAUCCUCCCAUUUUGAUCUUUCAAAGUAGUCCUUUCAGACAGAAAUACUUCCUGAAACCCUGUUAAUUUUUAAAAGCCAAUUAAUGGUGAGUAGGUUUCAUCUUUUUACAAUCCUGUUCGCUACCGUUAUUUCAUCUGUCUUCAGCUGCAAGGAUGCCCCCCCCACUUUUAAUUGCUGAUUUUGCCACGUUCUGAAUUAUCCAAAUUUCUGAAAUCACACAUGUGACUAUCACAUAGUGAAUAUUAUUGAUUGAUUGAUUGAUUGAUUGAUUGAUUGAAUGAUUGAAUGAAUGAAUUUGUAUACUGCCCUACCCCCGCAGGUCAUAGGAUAUGACAAAAUGUCAUAUAUAGCCAUAUUUGGCUAUGUGAUUAUAUCAUUAAAGGCAAAUGAAGUCAAUUAAGAGUGAGGACAAUACAAACACUUUCAGAACAAUCACUGAAAAAAUCGCCAAAAGAAAGUUGAUGUUUGAGUCUGCCCAAAGUGAUCAUUAAACACACACACACACACACACACACACAGAGAGAGAGAGAGAGAGAGAGAGAGAGAGAGAGAAUACUACCAUGUUUGCCCAAGUUUUAUUCCAUUUAUAAAUUUGAAACCUGUGGUUAUCACAAAAGAGAUAUAAUGUGUCUUACAGGGGUUAAUUCAAUGGCUGGAUACAAAUGUUUCUCAAAUUUUCCAAGCUUCACUGGCAUACAGAGCAACACUGUGUGUCAGAAACAUAUCCUUAUUCAGUCAGUAGCAGUAACGCCUGGUUACAAGCCCGUCAAGAACUGGCAUGCGAAGUUUUCUCUGGAAACUUCACAGUGCACAAUUACCUCCUUAUAAAUCCUUUGUAAACAUCCCUUUCAAGUAAGCCUAUGGCUGCAUACACACUAUACUUUGAAAGCACAUUAUUUCCUUCAAAGAAUUCUGAGCAGUGUAGUUUAUCCCUUCCAGAUUUACAAUCCCCGGCAACCCUUAAACUACAGUGCCCAGGAUUCUUUGAGGGGAAAAUGUUUGUUCUUUGAGUGAGCUUUAAAGGUACAGUGUCUAUGCAGCCAAAUAUAUUGUCUAAAAGGCCAGUGGAGCAAAAUGUAAUAGCAAAACAGAGCAGCUUUCUGAACAUGAUUUGCAAUUUUAGAAAACAAAGACAGUACCACAACACCCUCAGUAUCUCCUUUCUUGUAAUUUGAAUCCACUGGUUCAAGUCCUGGCCUCCAGAGUGGGAGGAAACAAGCUUGCUACAUCUUCCAUGUGACAGCCCAUUAGAUAUCUGAAGAUGGGUAUCAUAUCUUCUCUCAGUCUCCUCUUAUCCAAGAUAAGAGAAUGGGAAAGCAAUAAAUGGAGUGGCUUGAAAAGAGUCAUAAAGAGCCAUGCCAACUAUCUUGUGGUCCCUGUGGCAAAACUAUGCCAUUCUCGAUUCAAACAUCAGUUUUAUUUCUAACCAUACUAACCCUGAUAUACCAUACCCAACAUUUCAUUGCAAUCAAAUCAUGCAAGCAGCAAUUCCACAACGUGCUGUCAAGCAAAACAGUCUGCAAACCCACAGGAUAAUUUGUUUUAAUGAGCAGAUCCUUAACAUUCAAAUGCAAAUUGCUAAUCAAAACAAACUUGCCAAAGGAAGGCAGGGGUAAAUUCGCACAACAAGAAACCUAACGCUAAGCUCUCUAGCAGGUGUUGGGAACUUGUAGUCCUCUAGUUGUGGAUGAACUACAACUGCCAUCAUCCCCGGCCACUGGCCAUUCUUGCUGGAGCUGAUGGGACUUGCAAUUCAACAACAUCUGGAAGGCCAAAGGUUCUACGGUAUGUGUAGUAUGACUGGUAACAAUAAAAUCUCAUCACUCACUAAGAGAAAAUAAAAUGCUAAAUAAUAAUAAAAUAAUACUAAUUAUUAUCCAAAAAAAAAGCUCAACAAAUCUGGGCAAUCCUCCCCCCCCCCAAAAAAAGCUUCACAACUUUGGCAAUCCUCCCCCCCAAAAAAUCUCAACAACUCUGGGCCAUCUCCCCCCCCCCUCCAAUUUUCUUAAAUUGGAAUCUCCAAAAGUAGGGGGCGUCUUAUACACUGAAAACUACGGUAAUUCAUUGAUCAACAGAAAUUUCUUUCAUUAAAGUAUGGGUAAAAGAAUUUUGUGGAAAUAGGAGCAUGGGGCGGGAUUGUUGUUGGUCAUAGGUAGUAAGAAUUUCUAUACAUUAUAUCUGUGUCUUUCUAAUAAUAUCCAGAAGAAAACUCCCAGUGAUGUUUUUCAAUCUCAAGCUGAUUUGCAAAUGUAAAGAACUGAAUUUAAGAUUGGUAAAAACUGAGAAACCGAGAGGAACCAAAAUUUACAGACUCACUCACACCUAGUCUUGACAAUGACUUCAAAGUACAACAGCCCUGGUUAUGCAUUUGUUGUCUAGAGCAAUAUUUGAAGGGAUAAUAGGAAGGCAUUGCAUCACACCCAAGAGUUUGGACCAAUUAGAUCAAUCCGAAAUAGCACUAGACAAGGAGUUUAGCUACAUUUAAUGGGUUGGAGACACUUGAAUUCUUUCAAAGGGUUGUUUUGGCCCUGAAGCAAUCAGAGAAAGGCACAGAAAGACUCUGGCUGUUCCAAUCUGUAUGAUACUAACUGACAACAGCAUACAACCAAAAUAGCUGAAAGCAAGGCAGAAAGAAGCCUUUAAUAAUUCCAAGAGUUUGGAACCAGUUGCUGCUGCUUUUAAUGGCAAAAGCUCUCUGGUUAGAACAGCUGCACGGUGGGUUGAAAUUAAACAGGUGCUGCUUUCAUCGGGUAAGAAGAUGCUCACUGUGAGCAUUGCACCUACUGAAUCCCUACCACCAACUGCAAUGUAUGUGUUAAAAACACAGAGCCGCUGUCCAAAAAGAAAGGACUGCAAGUCUAAUAAUCAUAUCCUUUUCAGGCUAAGGGGAUGAGGUGGAAAUCACCAUUUACUUGUGCUGUAUUGAUUUUUCUAUUACAAUGGGAAGUGUGACCAUAAAUCGAACAGGGGAUCUUUGACAAGCAGGGUCUUUCUUUAUAGGCUCCAGAAAGUAACUAAUUCUGGUUGCCCAAGUAGGUGGCAUUAUUGUCACUGGUCUGAAAUAAUUCACACCCUGAAGCGAUCAGCUUCAUUUAAUGGGAUUUAAUCUAAGGCAGGAUGGCCAGCUUCCAAUUCUUGGGGGAGCAUCCUCCUCUAGCCAGUGGUCCCUGAGCCAAAAAUGUGUUUUGCCACUGAAUCUGACCUCAUUGUUGGUCAAGUCCCGUAGCAUGAGUGGUCAAAUGCUAAAUAACCUGAAAGAUCAUCUCACCCUCUAUAUACUCAUCAAUCCCUUGCUCUGCAGGUGAGCCUCUACUACAGAAACCAUCUGAUGAGAAAGUCCAUUCUGCACAAUGUAGCAAUCAGCCCUUUAGCACUGUGGCACCUCUCCAUAUAAUUGCCUCUCUUAAAAUAUUAGACAGGCAUCAUCUCUGUUGUCUUUUUACAGUGGUACCUCUGGUUAAGAACUUAAUUUGUUCCGGAGGUCCAUUCUUAACCUGAAACUGUUCUUAACAUGAGGUACCACUUUAGCUAAUGGGGCCUCCCACUGCCGCCACGCCGCCGCUGCACGAUUUCUGUUCUCAUCCUGAAGCAAAGUUCUUAGCCUGAGGUACUAUUUCUGGGUUGGUGGAGUCUGUAACCUGAAGCGUCUGUAACCCAAGGUACCACUGUACUGCCUACUGAAAACCUCCCUCUUCCAACAAGUUGAGAUUCUUCCCAGUUUGCAUUGGUACUGGAACUGUUUCUAAGAACUUUUUAUUUCUUUAUCACUUGUUGCAUGCUGCCCUGGGCUUCUUUGAGGGGAAGGGUGGGAUAUAAUUUAUUAUUAUUAUUAAAAGAAGGAUGCUGAACCUGUGGCCAUCCAGGCGAUUGACUCACCAAUGACCACUGGUCAUUCUGCCUAGGCCUGAAGGCUGUUGAACAACAUAUGGACAGCCAUCUAGAGAACAUGCUCUAUAGUAAAGUUGGUGAUGCCAUUCAGGACUUUGGAAUUAUGAAGUAGCUCAUGUUGUGUCUUUCCAUAGAAAAACUAAAUGGUGAUAUCCAGCCAAGCCAUAUAGCAGGCCCAUUCAAACCAAUGGAUUUAAAUAUCCCAAGUCCAUUUAUUUCAGUAGAUCAACUCUGAAUAUGAUUAGUGUUGAAUAUCACCCAAAUAGAAACAUUGCAUUGUGUGUGUCGGACUUGCUCCUCUCUCACAACCUGCAGGUUCUUGUAGAAUUACAACACAGGCUACAGUUUAGGCAUAAGUAAACAUAUAUACAAGAAUAAACUAUUAUUUCCCAUAAUGCUGAUGAUUUAUAACAAAUUAAAUACCUGAUGAACAUUAGUUGAUGCAUGUGCAUCGCUACGCCAGUAAUCAAUUCCAAAAAAUGCCAAUUUUCAUUAAAGAGAUUACACUUUUGUCUCCCUUCCUUAGACAUGAUGAAGGGUGUUCAUUUAAUCAUAAUGGCACAUUGCUGCAAUCUUGUCUCCCAUUCUUCAAGUGUGGGAGUUCAAUAGUCCCUCUAAUGUUUAACAAAAAGAACUCUAACUGCAGUGAUCACACAGCCUGUUAUUUAUAGGUUUGGUACAAAAUUAUUUUUGUAUAAAGAGGGUUUUCUUCCAGUAGUUAUUUCUGAUAGCUUUCUUAAUAUUUCGCCUUUGCGUAUAGACAAAUUACCAUCGAUAAAACAAAACAACAAUCCCAGGUGAAUGUAUUCUUCCAGCUAUGCUCUAUUGUUCUUCUGCCAUUCUGACAUCCCUUGGGGGAUAUCCCUUGUAUAUUUUCUGGCAGGAGCUGCCGGUUUUUAAAUGAAGGUAAGGAAUUACAUGCAACAACCCCCCAGCAUGUUUCUUCAAACAAAUUUAUGGCUUUCCUUGGAUCUUACUACAGAAGCUCAUUUGUGAUCCUGCAGGAGAAUAAAAUAAAAUAUCCAAAUCCAAGGGAUCAGAACUUCAAGCAGAAUAUUGUGGGAGGAGUGAUUUAAAAUGGCAGCAUUCGUUUGAAUUAAAAUGCUUUCUAGAAGCAGCCAUUUCCUCACCAAGAGCUGCAGCACGUUCAUCCUUUUAAUAAAAGAAACAUCAUUUUCCUUCUUUAAUUGCUGAUAUCCAAGUCUUUAAUCUAAAAUGUUGUUAUUAUUUUUCUCCAAAUAGGUGACUUUCUCUUUCCUUGAUGUUUGUAUUUUUCCUUUGAUUGCCAACACACUAGAUUUUAAUUGCUUAUAUAUUUAAUUCUCAUGUGCAUAAUUGCACUCCCGCAGUUGGCUGUUGUUGUUUUAAUUCAAACAGAUUGGGGGGGGGGAUUUAGCAGAGUAAUCUUAAUUCACCAUUGAGGCAUUAAGAUGAGAGGAAAGUCAGCAAGCAGAGUGACUGCUGCACCAUGUCCUGCCAUUUUGCAAUAGCCAUGGUAGGUGGGUGGGAGAGAGGGAGCAAAAUACCUACUUCAGCCCCAGGGAUGGUAUAUUGUCAGGUUGGUUCUUUGAGCAUGUGGGGGGAAUGCAAGAACUUUGGAUCUGGCAGAUACACAUUCACCCCAACACUCACUCUCUGGAGCCAACUGAUGAUUCCCAGGUAAGAUUGAAUUGAAAUUGAAAUUGAAAUACUUUAUUGUCACUUGUACAACUUGUAUACAGUGAGAUUACACGAGCACCCCCCACUCAGCUCUCUUAGUCUUAAUUCCCCUCGUUUACUGAAGCACACCCACCAAACCCGAAAAUCAGUUGCCCUGUUGUUAUCUUUUCUUUCAGCAGCCUAACAGCCCACGGAUAGAAGCUGUUCUUUACCCUAUUGGUGCGACUAAUCAUGCUUCUAUAUCUUCUGCCUGAGGGCAGGAGAUCAAGAAAGUGCCAGCCAGGGUGUGAAUCAUCCCUGAGAAUUUUCCUCACUCUCCUGAGGCAACGUUCUUCCGCUAUUUCAUCCAGCAGAUUCACGGGACAGCCCAUAAUAUCUUGUGCUGUAUUCACCACCCUCUGUAGGAACUUCCUAUCAGUUGAUGUCAAACCAGCUUACCACACCGUGAUGCAGUAUGAAAGGACACUUUCUAUUGUGGACCAGUAGAAGGAGAUCCACCCUCUAUUGUGUGGGCAGGGCCUACCUCGUCCAAUCCCCUGGCAAAGCCUUCCCAGAUGGUAUUGGGCAAUUGGCUGAGGUAAGCGGAGACCUCCAGGUAUCCAGCCUGGGGAGGGCAAAGCCAGACUGUACUGCCAGGAGCCGCAUAGGGUCUGGGGGGCUGUGAACAACCAUGCAAAAGACACCCCCCAUUUGAUGUGGGGAGUGGUCAUUCACCCCAACCAGUGCCCAAACACUAGCCGGAGGGAAAAAUAUAUAUUUUAAGCUUACAGAGGCCACAAGAACAUUAAUUGCCAAAAACUGGAAAAAAGAAAUAACACCAACAAAAAAAGAAUGGCAAGAUAAAUUGUUGGAUUAUAUUGAAUUGACCAGAUUGACAGAAGCUAUCAGAAGCCAAACAAAAAUUUCAAAAAGACUGGGGGAAAUAUAGAGAAUAUCUUUAAAAGCAGUGCCCUCAAAUUAAUACUUGGACUUGUUUCGAUUAACUUCCGCAAAAUAAAUGAAGGUAUGUAAGUCAAAAACAGAAAGAAAAAGAGGUAGUAAGGAAUUAAGAAGGAAACAGUUUAUCAAAAAUGAAAAGAGAACCAUGUUGAGGGUGAAGAAAGUCAAUUGGAAAAAAAGAAAAA
rnacentral:lncRNA from 1 species